rnacentral:rRNA from 1 species
UACGUAGGGUGCGAGCGUUAAUCGGAAUCACUGGGCGUAAAGCGCACGUAGGCGGAUCUUUAAGUCAGGGGUGAAAUCCCGAGGCUCAACCUCGGAACUGCCUUUGAUACUGGGGAUCUCGAGUCCGGGAGAGGUGAGUGGAACUGCGAGUGUAGAGGUGAAAUUCGUAGAUAUUCGCAAGAACACCAGUGGCGAAGGCGGCUCACUGGCCCGGAACUGACGCUGAGGUGCGAAAGCGUGGGGAGCAAACAGG